CAGAGUUACCCAACUCCCAAACCCCUGUGAACAUACCGCACGUUGCUUCGGCGGACCGCCCCGGCGCCCGAACCCCCAGGGGGGACGGCCCGGGCCCAGGCGCCCGCCGGGGGACCCCAAACCCUAGAAUCCGCCUCCGGCAGAGCAUCCUCUGAGUGAAGAAGCAAAUGAAUCA
rnacentral:misc_RNA from 1 species